CCCAGACUCCUACGGGAGGCAGCAGUGAGGAAUAUUGGUCAAUGGGCGCAAGCCUGAACCAGCCAAGUCGCGUGAGGGAUGACGGUCCUAUGGAUUGUAAACCUCUUUUGUCGGGGAGCAAGGCCCGCCACGUGUGGCGGGAAGGAGAGUACCCGAAGAAAAAGCAUCGGCUAACUCCGUGCCAGCAGCCGCGGUAAUACGGAGGAUGCGAGCGUUAUCCGGAUUUAUUGGGUUUAAAGGGUGCGUAGGCGGUUUUUUAAGUUAGUGGUUAAACGUCGGGGCUUCACCUUGAUUUGCCAUUAAUACUGUAAGACUCGAGUUCAGACGAGGUAGGCGGAAUAAGUUAAGUAGCGGUGAAAUGCUUAGAUAUAACUUAGAACUCCGAUAGCGAAGGCAGCUUACCAGACUGCGACUGACGCUGAAGCACGAGAGCGUGGGUAGCGAACAGGAUUAGAUACCCCUGUA
rnacentral:rRNA from 1 species